rnacentral:rRNA from 1 species
CGUAGGGUGCGAGCGUUAUCCGGAAUUAUUGGGCGUAAAGAGCUCGUAGGCGGUUUGUCGCGUCUGUCGUGAAAGUCCGGGGCUUAACCCCGGAUCUGCGGUGGGUACGGGCAGACUAGAGUGCAGUAGGGGAGACUGGAAUUCCUGGUGUAGCGGUGGAAUGCGCAGAUAUCAGGAGGAACACCGAUGGCGAAGGCAGGUCUCUGGGCUGUAACUGACGCUGAGGAGCGAAAGCAUGGGGAGCGAACAGGAUU